rnacentral:rRNA from 1 species
UACGAAGGGGGCGAGCGUUGUUCGGAUUUACUGGGCGGAAAGGGCGCGUAGGCGGUCUUGAAAGUCAGGCGUGAAAGCCCCGGGCUUAACCUGGGAAUUGCGCUUGAUACUCUGAGACUGGAGUACGGGAGAGGAGAGUGGAAUUCCCAGUGUAGAGGUGAAAUUCGUAGAUAUUGGGAAGAACACCAGUGGCGAAGGCGGCUCUCUGGACCGUAACUGACGCUGAGGCGCGAAAGCGUGGGGAGCAAACAGG